rnacentral:rRNA from 1 species
AUUGAACGCUGGCGGCAGGCCUAACACAUGCAAGUCGAGCGAGCGGCGGACAGGUGAGUAAUGUAUGGGGACUGCCCGAUAGAGGGGGCUAACUACUGGAAACGGUAGCUAAUACCGCAUACUAUCGGAUAACCCAUAUGGGAUUAGCUAGUAGGUGAGGUAAUGGCUCACCUAGGCGACGAUCCCUAGCUGGUCUGCGAGGAUGAUCAGCCACACUGGGACUGAGACACGGCCCAGACUCCUACGGAGGCAGCAGUGGGGAAUAUUGCGCAAUGGGCGCAAGCCUGAUCCAGCCAUGCCGCGUGUGUGAAGAAGGCCUUCGGGUUGUAAAGUACUGUUGGUAGAGAAGCGGUAUCUGCAGAAUAAGCAACGGCUAACUACGUGCCAGCAGCCGCGGUAAUUC